rnacentral:rRNA from 1 species
CCUACGGGUGGCUGCAGUGGGGAAUAUUGGACAAUGGGCGAAAGCCUGAUCCAGCCAUGCCGCGUGUGUGAAGAAGGCCUUCGGGUUGUAAAGCACUUUCAGUGGGGAAGAAAGCCUUGGGGCUAAUACCCUCGAGGAAGGACAUCACCCACAGAAGAAGCACCGGCUAACUCCGUGCCAGCAGCCGCGGUAAUACGGAGGGUGCGAGCGUUAAUCGGAAUUACUGGGCGUAAAGCGCGCGUAGGCGGUCUGAUAAGCCGGUUGUGAAAGCCCCGGGCUCAAACUGGGAACGGCAUCCGGAGCUGUCAGGCGAGAGUGCAGGAGAGGAAGGAAGAAUUCCCGGUGCAGCGGUGAAAUGCGUAGAGAACGGGAGGAAUGCCAGGGGAGAGGGGGGCCUUCAGGACUGACACGGACGCUGAGGUGCGAAAUCGUGGGUAGCAAACAGGAUUAGAUACCCGGGUAGAC